rnacentral:rRNA from 1 species
GAUCCUGGCUCAGGAUGAACGCUAGCUACAGGCUUAACACAUGCAAGUCGAGGGGCAGCAUGGUCUUAGCUUGCUAAGACUGAUGGCGACCGGCGCACGGGUGAGUAACACGUAUCCAACCUGCCGUCUACUCUUGGACAGCCUUCUGGAAGGAAGAUUAAUACAAGAUGGCAUCAUGAGUCCGCAUGUUCACAUGAUUAAAGGUAUUUUCCGGUAGACGAUGGGG